GCUCCUGCUCCCGCUCCCGGUCCCGGUCCGUCCGGCGGCUCUGCGGGUGCCAGCAGCGUCCCCCAGGAGCCCCCAGCCCUAUUUACCUGCCCGAGCGAGGAAGCAGAUUUCACUAGUUUGGAUCAAGCACGGAGUCCCACGUUACGGGUUAGCCAGCAGGAGAAGCGAGACCUCCAUCUGAGAACAGCCUGGUAUUUCAAAGCGCAGCAGCAUUUCCCGCACGUUUCCUUUUCUGGUGGCCAGAAAGCUGAGCUCAAUUUUCCUGUCAUGGAUUUCGCAUGGUUCCUUGGCUUGCCAUCUGCCCUCUUGCUGACACAUCUGGACUUUUCCAAGAAACUGCAACAGAAAUCAGAUCACUUGGACUUUUGCAAACUUAUGAGUUGGUUGAGAUGAUGAACAGUCACACCGCAGCACUUGUAGAAGGAUUACUCAAAAUAGUUUGGACGGCUUUGUUUCUCAUGCUGCCUCCCUCAGCAUUCUGCCCAGAUUAGAAAACGCCACGUUAACACCCUUUGCCAUGCCGCUGGUGACGAAGCAGCGUGAUAACCUGUUCACAGCUGUUAUUUGGAUGUGAGUGAGUCGCUGGAGGUGGGAGGUCUGGGACGGCACACUACGGGAGUCCCCGUGUGCCGUGUGAUGGAUGCAGCACGCCCACAAACAGAAAGUAAGCCGCUUCUCACCGUACCAUGUGGCAGCACUACCGAUUCUUUCUGUUUGGAAUUUAAUAAUGGCAAAAAUGUGUCAGAUUGAUUUUCUUAGAGAGGGGGAUACCAUGUCCAGGAGGCAGAAACGGCUUCUCCAGGCAAUCUCUUCCUGCCAGGGGGAUGAGAGUUUGGUGAAACAAGGACCUCCAGUUGCUCGUUCUCUGUCUCUUCUUUUGCUUGACCAAGGAACCUCUGAGAAGGGCUCUGUGGGAUCACUGCCUGAUCAGGGGAAAGCUCAGCUCUGCUCACCACUGCCUUCCUGACCUGAGGAGGUAUUUUCGAAAAGGAAUACAGCAUCGUAUUCUCAUGGGUUUGGCUUCAUCGGUGUGUUGUUUCACACACUUGAGAGCUUCAGGACACACAGAAGCAUUGGUUUUUGUAACUACUCUUGCAAAAUUGGGUUUCUUGCUAAUAUUCAGAGAAAAGCCUGAAAAGCAAGGAAAUGCCUCACUCUCUAUAAGUAGCCACUUACCAAAGCAAAAAUACAAUUAAUCUCUUUCCUGAUGA